CGGAUGCUGACGCAAUGUGAUUUCUACUGAGUGCUUUGAAUGUCAUAGUGAAGAAAUUCAACCAAGCACAGGUAAAUGAUGAGAGUAAAUAUGACCCUAUUAAGGUAGCCAAAUUCAUUUAAUUAUUGACGCACAUGAAUGGAUUAAUGAGAUUGGCACUGUCCCUAUAUACUAUCUAGAGAAACCACAACCAAGGGAACGUGCUUGGCAGAAUUAUUAGGGAUAUCUAAGACCCUUAUAAUCAGCGGGGAU
rfam:Picea glauca, whole genome shotgun sequence.